GACGAACGCUGGCGGCGUGCCUAAUACAUGCAAGUCGAACGAGAGAACCGGUGCUUGCACUGGUCAAUCUAGUGGCGAACGGGUGAGUAACACGUGGGUAACCUGCCCAUCAGAGGGGGAUAACAUCCGGAAACGGAUGCUAAAACCGCAUAGGUCUUCGAACCGCAUGGUUUGAAGAGGAAAAGAGGCGCAAGCUUCUGCUGAUGGAUGGACCCGCGGUGCAUUAGCUAGUUGGUGAGGUAACGGCUCACCAAGGCCGGGAUGCAUAGCCGACCUGAGAGGGUGAUCGGCCACAUUGGGACUGAGACACGGCCCAAACUCCUACGGGAGGCAGCAGUAGGGAAUCUUCCGCAAUGGACGCAAGUCUGACGGAGCAACGCCGCGUGAGUGAAGAAGGUUUUCGGAUCGUAAAACUCUGUUGUUAGAGAAGAACAAGUGCUAGAGUAACUGUUAGCGCCUUGACGGUAUCUAACCAGAAAGCCACGGCUAACUACGUG
rnacentral:rRNA from 1 species